rnacentral:rRNA from 1 species
UACAGAGGUCUCAAGCGUUGUUCGGAUUCAUUGGGCGUAAAGGGCGCGUAGGCGGCGCGGGCAGUCAACGGUGAAAGCUCGGAGCUCAACUCCGAGUCGGCCGUCGAUACUCCCGUGCUUGAGCACUGUAGAGGCAGAUGGAAUUCCGGGUGGUAGCGGUGGAAUGCGUAGAGAGUCCGGAAGAACACCGGUGGCGAAGGCGGUCUGCUGGGCAGUAGCUGGACGCUGAGACACGAAGGCCAGGGGAGCAAACGGG